AGGAGGAGUCGAUGGACAGAACCUUGGGAGGGGCCAAAGGGUUAAAAGGCACCCUUUUCCUAUGAACACCUGAGUCUCCUCCACCUCUCAGAGGAUGCACCUGUAGCAGCUUUCCCACAGAGGGCUCAUCCAGUGAUCCCAUCCAGGUGUUCACAGCGAUUUUCUGGUCCCAGCAGCCGUGGUUUGCAGGGUGAGGGUGGAGCUGGCAGCUCCUGCUGCCGUGAUUUCCCUCCUGGAAAAUCCAGCAGCUGAAAAUGUCAAAUAUUGAGAAACAGAAGCUGCUGCUGGGUCUCUCCCCUCGAACAUGACCAGCAGUUCCCAAAUCCCACCUCCCCUGCAGCUCUGCCU